rnacentral:sRNA from 1 species
UAAGUCCAGUGCCUCUGGCGUCGACUGCC